rnacentral:rRNA from 1 species
GACGUAGGUGGCGAACGUUAUCCGGAAUUAUUGGGCGUAAAGGGUGCGUAGAUAGCUUGACAAGUUAGCAGUGGUAAAUCGAGGCUCAACCUCGUGGAAGCUGGUAAUACUGUUUGGCUCGAGUGCAGGAGAGGUUAACAGAACUCCAUGUGGAACGGUAAAAUGUGUAGAUAUAUGGAAGAAUAUCAAUAACGGCGAAGGCAGUUAACUAUUCUGCUACUGACAUUGAGGCACGAAAGCGUGGGGAGCAAAACGG